AGUCCUGUAGCUCAGCGGUUAGAGCACUCGCCUAAUAAGAGAGAGGACCUGGGUUUGAUUCCCAGUGGGGCGA